CCUACGGGGGGCAGCAGUGGGGAAUAUUGGGCAAUGGGCGCAAGCCUGACCCAGCAACGCCGCGUGAAGGAAGAAGGCUUUCGGGUUGUAAACUUCUUUUGUCAGGGACGAAGCAAGUGACGGUACCUGACGAAUAAGCCACGGCUAACUACGUGCCAGCAGCCGCGGUAAUACGUAGGUGGCAAGCGUUAUCCGGAUUUACUGGGUGUAAAGGGCGUGUAGGCGGGGAAGCAAGUCAGAUGUGAAAACCACGGGCUCAACCUGUGGCCUGCAUUUGAAACUGUUUUUCUUGAGUGCUGGAGAGGCAAUCGGAAUUCCGUGUGUAGGAGUGAAAUCCGUAGAUAUCUGGAGGAACAUCAGUGGCGAAGGCGACUAUCUGGCACAUAACUGACGCUGAGGAGCGAAAGCGUGGGUAGCAAACAGGAUUAGAUACCCUUGUAGUC
rnacentral:rRNA from 1 species